rnacentral:rRNA from 1 species
UACGUAGGGUGCGAGCGUUGUCCGGAAUUACUGGGCGUAAAGAGCUCGUAGGUGGUUUGUCGCGUUGUUCGUGAAAACUCACAGCUUAACUGUGGGCGUGCGGGCGAUACGGGCAGACUGGAGUACUGCAGGGGAGACUGGAAUUCCUGGUGUAGCGGUGGAAUGCGCAGAUAUCAGGAGGAACACCGGUGGCGAAAGCGGCUUCCUGGUCCAGCACCGACGUUCAGGCACGAAAGCGUGGGGAGCAAACAGG